GCCUGGAUAGCUCAGUUGGUUAGAGUGUGGUGCUGAUAACGCCAAGGUUGCAGGUUUGAAUCUCUGCAUAUUCCUGCAUUGCA